GAUGAACGCUGGCGGCGUGCCUAAUACAUGCAAGUCGAGCGAACAGAUGAGGAGCUUGCUCCUCUGACGUUAGCGGCGGACGGGUGAGUAACACGUGGAUAACCUACCUAUAAGACUGGGAUAACUUCGGGAAACCGGAGCUAAUACCGGAUAAUAUAUUGAACCGCAUGGUUCAAUAGUGAAAGACGGUUUUGCUGUCACUUAUAGAUGGAUCCGCGCCGCAUUAGCUAGUUGGUAAGGUAACGGCUUACCAAGGCAACGAUGCGUAGCCGACCUGAGAGGGUGAUCGGCCCCACUGGAACUGAGACACGGUCCAGACUCCUACGGGAGGCAGCAGUAGGGAAUCUUCCGCAAUGGGCGAAAGCUUGACGGAGCAACGCCGCGUGAGUGAUGAAGGUCUUCGGAUCGUAAAACUCUGUUAUUAGGGAAGAACAAAUGUGUAAGUAACUAUGCACGUCUUGACGGUACCUAAUCAGAAAGCCACGGCUAACUACGUG
rnacentral:rRNA from 1 species